CCUACGGGGGGCAGCAGUGGGGAAUAUUGGACAAUGGGCGCAAGCCUGACCCAGCAACGCCGCGUGAAGGAAGAAGGCUUUCGGGUUGUAAACUUCUUUUGUCAGGGAAGAAUAGAAGACGGUACCUGACGAAUAACCCACGGCUAACUACGUGCCAGCAGCCGCGGUAAUACGUAGGUGGCAAGCGUUGUCCGGAUUUACUGGGUGUAAAGGGCGUGUAGCCGGGUUGACAAGUCAGAUGUGAAAUCCUGCGGCUUAACCGAAGAACUGCAUUUGAAACUGUUGAUCUUGAGUACUGGAGAGGCCGAUGGAAUUCCUAGUGUAGCGGUGAAAUGCGUAGAUAUUAGGAGGAACACCAGUGGCGAAGGCGGUCUGCUGGACAGCAACUGACGGUGAGGCGCGAAAGCGUGGGGAGCAAACAGGAUUAGAUACCCGGGUAGUC
rnacentral:rRNA from 1 species